rnacentral:rRNA from 1 species
ACAUAACUGAUGCCUCCGCGUAUCGACUUUGUGCGCAUUUUAGCUAUUAUGUGUUCUUUUAAUUAAAAUGAUUCUUUUUAAGAUUCAUCUAUUAAAAAUUUGCUUCGGCAUAAUUUUUUUUGAUGAUCUUGUUACUUUGAGUAAAUUAGAGUGUUCAAAGCAAACAGAUAUAGCAUUUGCGCGUUUGAAUACUACAGCAUGGAAUAACAAAAUUGAACAAGUCAGAAUUUUUUUGUUCUUUUUUCUUAUUUUGGCUUAGUUACGAUUAAUAGGAGUAGCUUGGGGGCAUUUGUAUUCAGAUGUCAGAGGUGAAAUUCUUAGAUUUUCUGGAGACAAACAACUGCGAAAGCAUUUGCCUAAAAUACUUCCAUUAAUCAAGAACGAAAGUUAAGGGAGUGAAGACGAUCAGAUACCGUCGUAAUCUUAACCAUAAACUAUGCCGACUAGGCUUUGGAUGAAAGAUUUUAAAAUAAGAGUUUUUCUUUUCUCUCCGGAGAUUAGAACUCUUAGAUUGCUUCCUUCAGUGCCUUAUGAGAAAUCAAAGUCUUUGGGUUCUGGGGCGAGUAUUCGCGCAAGCGAGAAAGUUAAAAGAAUUGACGGAAGGGCACCACCAGGCGUGGAGCUUGCGGCUUAAUUUGACUCAACACGGGAAAACUCACUAGUUUAAGACAAGAGUAGGAUUGACAGAUUAAUAGCUCUUUCUUGAUUUCUUGGAUGGUGAUGCAUGGCCGUUUUUAGUUCGUGAAUAUGAUUUGUCUGGUUAAUUCCGAUAACGAACGAGAUCUUAACCUGCUAAUUAGCGGCAAAUACGAUAUAUUCUUAUGUAGAAUUGAAUAUAGUGGAUUGUGUUGGAUUUUGAAGAAAAUAUUGGAAUUACGUUAAAUGUGAUUCCUUUCCCUUUUCUACUUAAUUUACAUUUCCAUCUAUUUCUUUUUUGCGUAUGAAUGUAUUUGCUUGAUUGUAAAGCUUCUUAGAGGAACGAUGUGUG